rnacentral:SRP_RNA from 1 species
GCCAGGCAUGGUGAUGCGUGCCUGUAGUCCCAGCGACUCUGGAGGCUGAGGCAGGAGAAUUGCUUGCCACCAGGAGUUUUGGGCUGUAGUGUGCUAUGCCUACAGGGUGUCCACACUAAGCUCGGCAUCAAUAUGGUCACUUCCAGGAAGCGAGGGACCACCAGGUUGCCUAAGGAGGGAUGAACCGGCCGAGGUCGCAAACAGAGCAGGUCAAAAUUCCUGUGCUAAUCAGUAGUGGGACCGCACCUGUGAAUAGCCACUGCACUCUGCCUGAGCAACAGAGCGAGACCCUAUCUCU